rnacentral:rRNA from 1 species
AUUGAACGCUGGCGGCAGGCUUAACACAUGCAAGUCGAACGAGUGGCGGACGGGUGAGUAAUGCUUGGGAAUCUAGCUUAUGGAGGGGGCUAACUACGGGAAACUGUAGCUAAUACCGCGUACCAUAGGAUGAGCACAAGUGGUAUUAGGUAGUUGGUGAGGUAAAGGCUCCCCAAGCCGACGAUCUCUAGCUGGUCUGAGAGGAUGACCAUCCAAACUGGGACUGAGACACGGCCCGGACUCCUACGGGAGGCAGCAGGGGGGAAUAGUGCACAAUGGGCGCAAGCCUGAUGCAGCCAUGCCGCGUGUAUGAAGAAGUCCUUCGGGUUGUAAAGUACUUGCAGUCGGGAGGCGUUACCGACAGAAGAAGCACCGGCUAACUCCGUGCCAGCCGCCGCGGUAAUAC